rnacentral:rRNA from 1 species
CCUACGGGUGGCAGCAGUGAGGAAUAUUGGUCAAUGGCCGAGAGCCUGAACCAGCCAAGUCGCGUGAGGGAAGACGGCCCUACGGGUUGUAAACCUCUUUUGUCGGGGAGCAACGCGAGUCACGUGUGACCCAUUUAGAGUACCCGAAGAAAAAGGCUUGGCUAACUCCGUGCCCGCAGCCGCGGUAAUACGGAGGAUGCGAGCGUUAUUCGGAUUUAUUGGGUUUAAAGGGUGCGCAGGCGGGAGUGCAAGUCAGCGGUAAAAUUGCGGGGCUCAACCCCGUACUGCCGUUGAAACUGGAUCUCUUGAGUGCGCGAGAAGUAUGCGGAAUGCGUGGUGUAGCGGUGAAAUGCAUAGAUAUCACGAAGAACUCCGAUUGCGAAGGCAGCAUACUGGCGCGCAACUGACGCUGAUGCACGAAAGCGUGGGUAUCGAACAGGAUUAGAUACCCCAGUAGUC